AAAGGUGUUGUUAUCCUCAUUUCUCUCUUAGUUCAUUAAAAUUUAUGCAUAGGAAUGACUGAGAUUAGGGCACUUUCUUGAAAUUUGCACCCACGGCAAAUGCCUCACUCGCCACAUCCUAGUCUGUCCCAAGUAUCGGGGAUUCCAAGGACACAGACUAUUUUACAAAUCUGGUGCUUACAUUUUCACUGUGAAGAGGAGACCAGCCCUGAGAAUAGCGUGAGGCACGGGUAAAAAUGAUACAGUGUUCCCAUCACAACCAGUGAGGAAAGUUCAAGUCCUUCCCUUCUGGACCACAGCUUUCUGAAGGAAAAAACCACCCAGGCUCUCACCAGAGCCAGAGUCACCACAGGAAUGAACUCAAGCCUGUUAGGCAUGGGUGAAGGCGCCUGGUUGGGAGCAGAGGGGUCAUGAGGUCUUGAGGAGGAGAAGAAUUCAGAAAUCUAGGGGUCAAAGAGCAGCCCAGGGAACAGACACCAGGGAGAAAAGGAGGUCGGGUGAGACACACACUCAGACAGUAAAGAGCAGGCAGGGCAGAUCACACUGGAUCCUCUUCCAGAGCUCAGGGAAAUCCCAAUUGCAGGGCUGCCGGUGUAGCUCCUGGCAGAGUGCUCACCAGCACGCGGAGGUCCCGAGGUCAGUCUUCAACUUCCCACAAUAAAAACAAUCCUCAAGAAUGAUUUUACAUCUUGGGUACUUUCUUAUAAUCGAACACUUAUCCUUAUAUAGGAAAAUCACAAAAAAUGCUUGAAAUAUAUAAUAAAGGGAAAAUUAUGAAAAUGAAUCACGGUGUUGUACAUGACCUUGCCAUUCUCCAUAAUUAUUUAGGAUACAUAGGAGGCAUUCAGAUGACCCAGACUCACUCUCUCUUUCCAUCACCCUUGAAGACCCGGGCUUCAUCUCCUGCAGGUCCAGUCAGAGCCUUCUAUGUAGUGUAGUACAGUCCUACUUGCGUUGGACUGUAUGCAAACGAGGAGAGUUUCCAUGGCGCAUGAUUUCUGAGGUUUCCAAAAAGUACUCUUGGGUCCCAGACAGGUUCAGUUGUACUGGAUCAAAGACAGAAUUCACAUUCAAAAUCAUAGAGUGGAGGCUGAAGGUGCUGGAGUUCAUUACUGUACACAAUGUACACAUGCUCCUCCCACAGUGAUACGGCUCCAAACACAAACCUCCCCGGCUGAGGAGGCUCAGCUGCCCUCUGGUGCUGCUGUGCACCAUGGCAGAGUCUGUGGGUCCACAUGAGAGGAAGAAGCUGAAGAACACACAACAGGUUGCAGAAGAGGCCUCUGCACAGGACUAAGAGGAGAAAACAAAAGAGCCUAAGGACCUGUGCUCUGGUGCGGACCCAGACUCACAGAGUAGAAGGACGUGACUGGCUUCCACAGGUUCCUCUGAGCACCGGAAAUUCUAUUCUUUUCUGAAAUUGGAUGUAAACCUGAGAUGAUUAAUAAGAUGAAAUUAGAAUAUAACGUUUGUACUUAAUCAGCCUCUUCUCUCUUCUUAUGCCAGGAUCCUGAGCAGAUGUGGUGGUGCGCAUGGUUCACUCGGUCUGACUGUCACAUUGAGAGAGUUGGCCUACACCUCAGGCAGAACCACAGAGGGAGGACCUUCCCAAGCACGUGUGAGAUAAAAGCUGGCUCUAAUUUUGUCCUCACUGAUCAGAACUCUUCAGUUCAGUUUCUCGAAAUGAGGCUCCCUCUUCAGCUCCUGGGGCUGCUCCUGCUCUGGAUCACUGGAUCCACAGGAGAUAUUGUGAUGACCCAGACCCCACUCUCUCUGUCCAUCAGCCCUGGAAAGACGGCCUCCAUCUCCUGCAGGUCCAGUCAGAGCCUCCUACAUAGCAAUGGAAACACCUAUUUGCAUUGGGUGGUACAGAAGCCAGGCCAGGCUCCACAGGGUAUGAUAUACCAGGUUUCCAACCUGAUUUCUGGCGUCUCAGACAGGUUCAGUGGCAGCGGGUCAGGGACAGAGUUCACACUCACCAUCAGCAGGGUGGAGGCUGAGGACGCCGGAGUUUAUUACUGUUUGCAAGGUUUAUAUGCUCCUCCCACAGUGACACAGCCCCGAACACAAACCUCCCUGCCUGGGGAGGCCCAGCUGCCCUCGUGCGCUGCUGUCUGGGGAGCAGCAAAGCAGUCUGUUCUGCGUGAGAGGAAGAGGCUGAAGAACUCAGAACAACAAGCUGCAGCUGAGGCCUCUGCUGAGGACAGAGAGUGAGGAGAACAGGGCUGCAUGGACCUGAGCUCUGGUGAGGACGGGACACAGAGCAAGAACAGAGCUGACUUCCAGCAGUUCUUUUGACCUUGAAAAUUCUGUGUCUUUAUGAAAAUAAAUAAAACUAAAUCAAAUACA